rnacentral:rRNA from 1 species
AUUGAACGCUGGCGGCAGGCCUAACACAUGCAAGUCGAGCGGAUGAAGGGAGCUUGCUCCUGGAUUCAGCGGCGGACGGGUGAGUAAUGCCUAGGAAUCUGCCUGGUAGUGGGGGAUAACGUCCGGAAACGGGCGCUAAUACCGCAUACGUCCUGAGGGAGAAAGUGGGGGAUCUUCGGACCUCACGCUAUCAGAUGAGCCUAGGUCGGAUUAGCUAGUUGGUGGGGUAAAGGCCUACCAAGGCGACGAUCCGUAACUGGUCUGAGAGGAUGAUCAGUCACACUGGAACUGAGACACGGUCCAGACUCCUACGGAAGGCAGCAGUGGGGAAUAUUGGACAAUGGGCGAAAGCCUGAUCCAGCCAUGCCGCGUGUGUGAAGAAGGUCUUCGGAUUGUAAAGCACUUUAAGUUGGGAGGAAGGGCAGUAAGUUAAUACCUUGCCGUUUUGACGUUACCAACAGAAUAAGCACCGGCUAACUUCGUG